GGAAAUUUUGCUCGACCAAUGUGCACCUUUUCUUUUUUAUCGAAAAGUAGAGGAAAUUUCAUUAGCUUCUUCAAAUAUGGCCCAUGGCAACGUACAAUAAGAACUAGACUCACAGUCCAACAACUAGCCUUACAAGAAAAAAAGGCCUACAACCCAAGGAAAAACAAAACCUUAGCUAGUGUUGCUCGAAAAGCUAGUAGAGCUAACACGCAAAAACAGCGCCGCCCGCACAGAUCGACCAGUCGGGGGAAGAUGCCAAAGACACAGUGGAAAUCUCAAAACCAGGCCAAGCAUGUUAAAGAAAUUUAGCGCCAAGAAGAAGGCCCCAAACACCUCCACAAAUGAGCAGUUGGAGACAGGAAUCCAAAAGAGGCAGAAUGUAGAGACCAUGGAUCAACUAGCAGUAAGGAAGGCCAUGGCAAAGCUCAUGGCAUUUCAAAUUCAUCUAAC
rnacentral:misc_RNA from 1 species